GACGAACGCUGGCGGCGUGCUUAACACAUGCAAGUCGAACGGAAAGGCCCUGCUUUUGUGGGGUGCUCGAGUGGCGAACGGGUGAGUAACACGUGAGUAACCUGCCCUUGACUUUGGGAUAACUUCAGGAAACUGGGGCUAAUACCGGAUAGGAGCUCCUGCUGCAUGGUGGGGGUUGGAAAGUUUCGGCGGUUGGGGAUGGACUCGCGGCUUAUCAGCUUGUUGGUGGGGUAGUGGCUUACCAAGGCUUUGACGGGUAGCCGGCCUGAGAGGGUGACCGGCCACAUUGGGACUGAGAUACGGCCCAGACUCCUACGGGAGGCAGCAGUGGGGAAUAUUGCACAAUGGGCGGAAGCCUGAUGCAGCAACGCCGCGUGCGGGAGGACGGCCUUCGGGUGGUAAACCGCUUUCGCCUGUGACGAAGCGUGAGUGACGGUAAUGGGUAAGAAGCACCGGCUAACUACGUG
rnacentral:rRNA from 1 species